rnacentral:rRNA from 1 species
AGAGUUUGAUCCUGGCUCAGGACGAACGCUGGCGGCGUGCCUAACACAUGCAAGUCGAGCGGAGAUAACUUGAUGGUAACUGAUAGUUAUCUUAGCGGCGGACGGGUGAGUAACACGUGGGCAACCUGCCUCAGAGUGGGGGAUAACACCGAGAAAUCGGUGCUAAUACCGCAUAACGUACGGAUUUCGCAUGAUAACCGUACCAAAGGAGCAAUCCGCUUUGAGAUGGGCCCGCGGCUGAUUAGCUAGUUGGUGAGGUAAUGGCUCACCAAGGCAACGAUCAGUAGCCGACCUGAGAGGGUGACCGGCCACACUGGAACUGAGACACGGUCCAGACUCCUACGGGAGGCAGCAGUGGGGAAUAUUGCGCAAUGGGGGAAACCCUGACGCAGCAACGCCGCGUGGAGGAAGAAGGUCUUCGGAUUGUAAACUCCUGUCUUCUGGGACGAUAAUGACGGUACCAGAGGAGGAAGCCACGGCUAACUACGUGCCAGCAGCCGCGGUAAUACGUAGGUGGCGAGCGUUGUCCGGAAUUACUGGGCGUAAAGGGCGCGUAGGCGGCUCUUUAAGUCAGAUGUGAAAACCCAGGGCUUAACUUUGGGACUGCAUUUGAAACUGAAGGGCUUUGAGUGCAGGAGAGGUAAGUGGAAUUCCUAGUGUAGCGGUGAAAUGCGUAGAUAUUAGGAGGAACACCAGUGGCGAAGGCGACUUACUGGACUGUACCUGACGCUGAGGCGCGAAAGCGUGGGGAGCAAACAGGAUUAGAUACCCUGGUAGUCCACGCUGUAAACGAUGGAUACUAGUGUGGGGAGGUAUUCGACCCCUUCCGUGCCGCAGUAAACGCAAUAAGUAUCCCGCCUGGGGAGUACGGCCGCAAGGUUGAAACUCAAAUGAAUUGACCG